rnacentral:lncRNA from 10 species
CCGCCCGCGCACGAAUCCCCCCGCCCCCGCAUGAGCCCGCGCCACGCCUGGCCUUGGAGCGCCACCUGCAGGUGAAGUCGGUUCACGGGAGGCGGGGCCUGCGUCCUGGGGCCCCAGGGCUGGUGACGCCCAUCAGCACUCCUGGGACACCGCCUGUGACCCCCUGAGAGCAUCCGCCAACCACAUUCACGUUUCUCACGCACUGGCUCCCUGCUGCGGCUGCUGCUCUCUCCAAGCCGUGGGCCUGCGACCACCCCAGACCAUCUGCCUUCUGCAGCACAGUUCCUGCCCCUGGGGGUUCUCAGGCCUGGCUCUGGGCUGUCGCCUCCCUUUUCCCUUCCCAAGGCAGCUCGGCAGAAAAAUGAGAAGUCCCAGAAGCUCAGGACGCCCUGAGCUGGAAGUCAACAUAGACGCUGCUGCCUCUGCCAGGAGCCCGGUCCUCCCUACGGAAUAUGCAGCCUCUCCCCAGGGCCCAUCCAGCAGCACCUUGUCAUGAAAGCUCCUUGACCCACAGGACUUUGAUUAGACGGCAAUGUUCAGGCUGGGCUGUGCCCAGGGCCUGAGGCCAACACAGGGCGCACUUCUGUGUCACAGCAGAAGCAGUGAUUGGUGGCUUCAAGUGAAAGGUGGGCAGCAUCUUGGCAGGUUCAUACAAACAAAAGGUCUCAGGGGACCCCAAUUGGAAUCCCCCAGACAAGAGUCGGACAAGGGGGCACCACGUGGUGGGUGCACCUCACUCUUCCUGUCUCCCAUGAAGACCCAGCUCCAGGCACCCACACCCCAUCCUGGAGAUGCCAGGACAUGGAGUGGUGCUUGUGCACGUGUUGCCCAGAGGGGCGAUGUCCGCAGCACUGGCCAGAGAGCAGGGAGGGCCCUGACGCACCACCCAUGGCUGGUAGCCAGGCCUGACCCAAGCCGGGCCUGACCCAAGGAGCCACCAAAGAAUCGCCUCCCAUCUAAAGGCACCAGUUCCCGAGGGAAGGGUACUUUAGUCAAACAGACCCGUGCCAGAGAGAUGGCACCAGCAGCACCAGCCAGGGCCCAAGGGGACCCCAGCACGGCACACCCCACACGAGACUUCUAGAGCCAAGAAAUAAAGGGUUUUCCAAGGACACAUCAGCAAAUGAACCGACAGAGAGGAUGCGAAUGUUGGCAUCCAAAGGAAAAGUGUGAAAGAGGAAGUAGAAAAAAGUCCACAAAUACUGAGCAAAAGGAAGGAAAUGGAAAGAGUGUGGCUCGGGGACACAGCCAGAGCUGAACAAUCCAUCAAAGGGGCCCCUGAAUGACAGAGGGAGCAGGUGGAGGAGAGGCCGCUAUUUUUGAAAGAACAGAAGCAAACAGCUUUCCUGAAAUGGAGGAAGAGCUGCACCCACAGCCCAGGGGCUCCUGACGUCCCGGUGUAGCUGAAGAGAAAGACCUGAACUCAAAGGCUGGUGAGUAUACCAUGGCCUCCAGACAGACAGGAGAUGCCUCUACAGAAUCCUGCUGACCCAGGCUGCGCCUCCACAAGUCUGGGAGCCAGAAGACAGAACAAUAACAUCGACUCAGAGAGACAAGGAUGAGACUCAGCACUUCCGGAUCCAGCCCAGGACAACUCACAGCAUCCACGCACAGGGCAGGAGGCAGGCUGUGGUCGCUGCCUGUCAUUCUACAGAGACCUGGGCUGCCCUGGGACUCACCUUCCCCAGGAGAAUACGGAGGAACUGGGGCAUGCCAGGAUAGGCCCAAGCCUUUGGAAGGCCUGGACACUCCCACUCUGCACUUUUAGAGCCCUGAGCCUCCAUGGAGGAAGGCCAGGCACCCUGCUAGAGACCCCAGGGAGGGACCAUGGGAGCCAGCGACGUCCUGAGAAAGGUAGUUCCAGUGAUCCCAGCAUCCCAUCUGAGACCAACCUUCCAGGCCACCUGGCCAGAGCGCCAGGUGUGUGAGGGUGCCGUCCUGCACGUCUCAGCUCAGCCCGGCCAUCAGAUCGCUGGUGCCCCCACGGACAGCCUGAGGACGGGAGAGCCGCCCUGCUGAGCUCGGUCAACCCAAAGCAUUCUGAGAUCAGGGGGAGGCUGCUGUUUUCAACCACUAAGUGGUCUGUCACAGCAACAGAUAACUGAGACGGUGGAGAGAAACAGGACAUCAGGACUUCUAAAGGCCUCAGCCGAGGCAGGGGAGAAGAAAAGGAAGGGAAGAGAAAGCCCAAUUUUCAAAAAUUAAGAGAGAAAUAUCUGUCUGAUAUGAGAGAAAGUGGGGGAAUGGAAGAGCAUAGAGGGACUGCAGGUUCCCAAGAACAAUGGAAUGAAGAGACUUGAUCAAAACAAAGAUGGAG